GUGAAGAACGUAGCGAAAUGCGAUAAGUAAUGUGAAUUGCAGAAUUCAGUGAAUCAUCGAAUCUUUGAACGCACAUUGCGCCCGCCAGUAUUCUGGCGGGCAUGCCUGUUCGAGCGUCAUUACAACCCUCAGGCCCCCGGGCCUGGCGUUGGGGAUCGGCAGAAGCCCCCUGUGGGCACACGCCGUCCCUCAAAUACAGUGGCGGUCCCGCCGCAGCUUCCAUUGCGUAGUAGCUAACACCUCGCAACUGGAGAGCGGCGCGGCCAUGCCGUAAAACACCCAACUUCUGAAUGUUGACCUCGAAUCAGGUAGGAAUACCCGCUGAACUUAAGCAUAUCAAUAAGCGGAGGA
rnacentral:misc_RNA from 1 species